GACGAACGCUGGCGGCGUGCUUAACACAUGCAAGUCGAACGGAAAGGCCCUGCUUGCAGGGUACUCGAGUGGCGAACGGGUGAGUAACACGUGGGUGAUCUGCCCUGCACUUCGGGAUAAGCCUGGGAAACUGGGUCUAAUACCGGAUAGGAGCCAUUUUUAGUGUGAUGGUUGGAAAGUUUUUUCGGUGUAGGAUGAGCUCGCGGCCUAUCAGCUUGUUGGUGGGGUAAUGGCCUACCAAGGCGGCGACGGGUAGCCGGCCUGAGAGGGUGGCCGGCCACAUUGGGACUGAGAUACGGCCCAGACUCCGACGGGAGGCAGCAGUGGGGAAUAUUGCACAAUGGGCGCAAGCCUGAUGCAGCGACGCCGCGGGGGGGAGGACGGCCUUCGGGUUGUAGAAGCCUUUCGCUAGGGACGAAGCUUUUUGUGACGGUACCUAGAUAAGAAGCACCGGCUAACUACGUG
rnacentral:rRNA from 1 species